AUUGAACGCUGGCGGAAUGCUUUACACAUGCAAGUCGAACGGCAGCACGGACUUCGGUCUGGUGGCGAGUGGCGAACGGGUGAGUAAUGUAUCGGACCGUGCCCAGUCGCGGGGGAUAACGUAGUGAAAAUUACGCUAAUACCGCAUACGCUCUAUGGAUGAAAGCGGGGGAUCGCAAGACCCCGCGCGACUGGAGCGGCCGAUAUCAGAUUCGGUAGUUGGUGGGGUAAAGGCCCACCAAACCAACGAUCUGUAGCUGGUCUGAGAGGACGACCAGCAACACUGGAACUGAGACACGGUCCAGACUCCGACGGGAGGCAGCAGUGGGGAAUUGUGGACAAUGGGCGAAAGCCUGAUCCAGCCAUUCCGCGUGCAGGAUGAAGGCCCUCGGGUUGUAAACUGCUUUUGUACAGAACGAAAAGGUUUCUACUAAUACUAGGAGCUCAUGACGGUACUGUAAGAAUAAGCACCGGCUAACUACGUGCCAGCCGCCGCAGUAA
rnacentral:rRNA from 1 species